rnacentral:rRNA from 1 species
CACAGGUCUCUGCUAAACCGUAAGGUGAUGUAUAGGGGCUGACGCCUGCCCGGUGCUGGAAGGUUAAGAGGAGUGGUUAGCUUCUGCGAAGCUACGAAUCGAAGCCCCAGUAAACGGCGGCCGUAACUAUAACGGUCCUAAGGUAGCGAAAUUCCUUGUCGGGUAAGUUCCGACCCGCACGAAAGGCGUAACGAUUUGGGCACUGUCUCAACGAGAGACUCGGUGAAAUCAUAGUACCUGUGAAGAUGCAGGUUACCCGCGACAGGACGGAAAGACCCCGUGGAGCUUUACUGUAGCCUGAUAUUGAAAUUCGGCACAGCUUGUACAGGAUAGGUA